CAAGAAAAGCCUCUAAGCUUCAGGUAAAAAGAGACCGUACUCCAAACCGACACAGGUGAUCAGGUAGAGAAUACCAAGGCGCUUGAGAGAACUCGGGUGAAGGAACUAGGCAAAAUGGCACCGUAACUUCGGGAGAAGGUGCACCGCUUUUGGUGAUGGGAUUUACUCCCUAAGCUGAGGGCGGUCGAAGAUACCAGGCCCCUGCAACUGUUUAUUAAAAACACAGCACUCUGCAAACACGUAAGUGGACGUAUAGGGUGUGACGCCUGCCCGGUGCCGGAAGGUUAAUUGAUGGGGUUAGCGCAAGCGAAGCUCUUGAUCGAAGCCCCGGUAAACGGCGGCCGUAACAAUAACGGUCCUAAGGUAGCGAAAUUCCUUGUCGGGUAAGUUCCGACCUGCACGAAUGGCGUAAUGAUGGGGGCGCUGUCUCCACCCGAGACUCAGUGAAAUUGAAAUCGCGGUUAAGAUGCCGUGUACCCGCGGCUAGACGGAAAGACCCCGUGAACCUUUACUAUAGCUUUGCACUGAACUUUGAACCUAUCUGUGUAGGAUAGGUGGGAGGCUUUGAAGUCGAGACGCUAGUUUCGAUGGAGCCGUCCUUGAAAUACCACCCUGGUAUGUUUGAGGUUCUAACGUCGGCCCCUUAUCGGGGUUACGGACAGUGUAUGGUGGGUAGUUUGACUGGGGCGGUCUCCUCCCAAAGAGUAACGGAGGAGCACGAAGGUGUGCUAAUCAUGGUCGGAAAUCAUGAGGUUAGUGUAAAGGCAAAAGCACGCUUGACUGCGAGACAGACAUGUCGAGCAGGUACGAAAGUAGGUCUUAGUGAUCCGGUGGUUCUGUAUGGAAGGGCCAUCGCUCAACGGAUAAAAGGUACUCCGGGGAUAACAGGCUGAUACCGCCCAAGAGUUCACAUCGACGGCGGUGUUUGGCACCUCGAUGUCGGCUCAUCACAUCCUGGGGCUGAAGCCGGUCCCAAGGGUAUGGCUGUUCGCCAUUUAAAGUGGUACGCGAGCUGGGUUUAGAACGUCGUGAGACAGUUCGGUCCCUAUCUGCCGUGGGCGUUGGAGAUUUGAGAAGAGUUGUUCCUAGUACGAGAGGACCGGAAUGAACGAACCUCUGGUGUUCGGGUUGUCAUGCCAAUGGCAUUGCCCGGUAGCUACGUUCGGACGGGAUAACCGCUGAAAGCAUCUAAGCGGGAAGCCUCCUUCAAGAUGAGAUCUCCCUGGGACUUUAAGUCCCCUAAAGAGCCGUUGAAGACUACGACGUUGAUAGGUUGGGUGUGGAAGCGCAGCGAUGCGUUGAGCUAACCAAUAUUAAUUGCUCGUGCGGCUUGAUCAA
rnacentral:rRNA from 1 species